rnacentral:rRNA from 1 species
GACGAACGCUGGCGGCGUGCCUAAUACAUGCAAGUUGAACGCUGAAGACUGGUACUUGUACUAGUUGGAUGAGUAGCGAACGGGUGAGUAACGCGUGGGUAACCUACCUCUUAGCGGGGGACAACUAUUGGAAACGAUAGCUAAUACAGCAUAACAAUACCUAACACAUGUUAAGUAUUGGAAUGCACCAACUGGUGCACUAAGAGAUGGACCCGGGUUGUAUUAGCUAGUUGGUAGUGUAAUGGACUACCAAGGCGAUGAUACAUAACCGACCUGAGAGGGUGAUCGGCCACAUUGGGACUGAGACACGGCCCAAACUCCUACGGGAGGCAGCAGUAGGGAAUCUUCGGCAAUGGGGGCAACCCUGACCGAGCAACGCCGCGUGAGUGAAGAAGGUUUUCGGAUCGUAAAACUCUGUUGUUAGAGAAGAACGUCAGUGAGAGUGGAAAGUUCACUGAGUGACGGUAUCUAACCAGAAAGGGACGGCUAACUACGUGCCAGCCGCCGCCGUAA